GGGGUGGUGGUCUAAUGGUUACCGCUUCUGCUUCAUAAGCAGAAGGUCAUGGGUUCAAUCCCAGGCCCAGCCCU
rnacentral:tRNA from 1 species